AACUUUUAACAAUGGAUCUCUAGGCUCUCAUAUCGAUGAAGAACACAGUGAAAUGUGAUAAUUAAUGUGAAUUGCAGAAUUCAGUGAAUCACCAAGUUUUUGAACGCACCUUGCACCUUUUGGUAUUCCAAAAGGUACACCUGUUUGAGUGUCAU
rnacentral:rRNA from 1 species